rnacentral:piRNA from 1 species
UGGCUAUUCAAGAUGUGUGCUUCCUGUU